AAAUUAAUUUUAAAAAUGAAAAGAAAUGACGUGGCAUCAUGCUUUUAUACGACGACACUCGGCUUUUACCCGCCAGAAUACUCGAGCCAUUGCGAUCUCCUUCUCGCUUCCAAGGCACGGAGGUCGACGGCGAUCGAAGAUGAACCGAGAGUUUCUUUAAUCGCUUUCAUUCGGUGAGAAACUGCCAUGCCGAUUCGAUCUUCUCCAUAUUACCGAAACGAGCGGUGGAAACUUCUCUCGCGGUAUUUGGCUGCGAACCGGUUGUGGAAAAAAUCGAAAAGAUCGAGUUCACUGUUCCUCAUUUAUCGAGGACGAAUGUUUUAUCACCUUGCUAGUUUCGUUGACGACUAUAGCGUACUAGAGUCACUUGAUUGCGAUCAGCGGGAUACGAUAGCUCGGUUGAUCGGUGAACUUGACAGCAGAGUGGCGUUUCUUGCCUUUUGUGCACUCUAUAAUGGUUAGUUAGAGUUUUCGGUUCAACUGAUAUUGCUGUUGCACUUGUAUUCUUUCUUUAAUAGUCAUAAUGGAGGAAGUCGUUUGCAUAUUUUUCUCCUCGACUGGUGUUCUUUUGAGUUUGGUUUUCAUCGAGAUUUGCGUUUGCGCAUCUCACACUUGAUAAUGCUUGUUUCGGUCUUCUUAACUAUUUAAUUAUGAUGCGAUAAACAGGCGGAUAUUAGAAAGUGGUUCAUGAAAGCACACGAUAAAGACAGCGGCAAUGCGUCAAAGCAUGCAAAACCUGCUCCAAGCACUUUUGAGAAAUCCGCUUCAGCUGAACUCUACAGUCCGGAAAAACAGUGUGUCUUCUGACCCUACUCUUCUUAGCAGUAUGGAUGGCAUGUUCCAAGUAUCAUUAUAUUCUUGAUUCAUCUCUAGUUUCUCUAGCUGCGUAUUUCGCUGGUCCUUUAUUUUAUAAAAACUCCUUGUUAUGUGGAUGGAUUAUUGAUGUCUGUUUCUGGAACCAUAGUUCUUGUAUGACUUGGUGUAUCUGGUGUUUCUGAAGGAAAAUGGAGCUAUAUUUAAUACCUGGUCUUGACUUCAUUUCUGAUGAGGUGUCAUAAAAAGCACAUAACCUUGAUGUUAAUUAAUCGUCUCUAGUUUUUGGUUUGAUCCUGCAAGAAAGAUAAACUCAGAAUAGAAAAACUCUUGGUAUUCUGGUUUGUAAAUAGAAAGGAUGCACUUCAGAACGAGUAAAAGCAGCUAGAUAUGUUGGAAUUGCUACAGGUGGAACUCCUCUGGGUAAUCCUUGACGUUAAAAUGUUAGAGGUGUUGAUGAGGGAGGAUGAAUAUUGGAGACAAAAAACCUCAUGAUGGAAAGUUAGAUGCGGAGUCUUGUUACGAGCAGGAGACACCAAAUCUAAAGUUGUUUGGUUAUUUCAACAACUUACUUCAACAAGAAAGUUGGACGAAAGUGGCUUUCUCAUAUUAGGGCAUGCCUGGAGAUUCUUAUGGUAACUGCUGGAAUGGAAGCUGAGAUGGGAUGCCUUGUUGAGAUGACAUUUUGUAGAUGCAGAGAUUUCAGGAGGCUUGACUCAUUGGUCUUAUGAAAUUUUACAAAAAAAGGAAAAUUAUAUUAAUUAUAGGCCAAGCUCUGUUCGUAAGGAUGACAAUGGGGUCAAACGGAUGGAUUUGAUUGCCUGUGCAGCUGAUUCUAUUGCAGAUGGGGAUAUAAUCAAUGUACAAAUUCAAAGGCAUCGACAGUAGCAACUCUCUCAAGAGUAGUUCUAUUGCUUCUUGUGUAAUACCAGCUUGAUUAUUGCAUGGGCAAAGAGAAACGCUGGAGCAGGGAGAGUGUAAUUUUAACAGAUUUGGUGCAUGGCUGGGAAAAAAAAUUCAACAUUUGGAAAACAUAUGAGGCUUUUGGAAGACUUUCACGUUCACAUUCUUGCUUCUCGCGAGUCCUGUUCAUGGAGGGAACACCUACAAGCUGAGAACCUUACUCUUUUUCUAAAGAGGUUGACUGAGCCACUGGCAAGCUGCCUGAGAAUGAAGCAGUUAAAAUGGUUGUUGAGUUUAUGAGUCUAUAUUCAAUCAAUCAGGAGGAUUUUGAUACUGUUCUUGAGUUGUCAAAAUUUCAGGGUCGUAAGAAUUUAUUGGAUGGCGUGCCCCUGCUGUGAAAUAUGCUCUAACAAAGGCAUACAAAGAAGUAAGCAAGACACGUAUGGGGAUACAGUUCCUGCAAUGAAAAAAAGCCCCAAAAAAGCGAAGACUCUAGAACUCUUGGGACAACAAGGGUGCAGGUAAGCUUUGAUCCGUCUUUUCGAGGUCAGCGGUUAGUGAAUGAGUUGCGCUUGAUGGGCAAGUCCUGCUUCUCUAGUUGCCAAUUAUUCCUUGUUGCAAUUAUAGAAGACUCCACAAACGGUGAGAAGUUGCGACUGGAACUUCAAAGCUUGAGUAAGAAACUGCAAUCGGAAUAUGAAGUCCUUGCUAUUGGACUUUAUAUUUACUAUUUUGUUUGGAAUGCAAGUGCAGUUGGAAUUGAAAGGCGUGGAAAAUUCAAGCUUCAAGAAAUUCGGUGGCAGAGGAAGAGGAGGUAGUUCCCAGGAUUCAAAGAAGAAAGGUGGGCGAGGUUCAGGAUCUGCCACAAAGAGGAGAAAAUGAAAUAAAACGCUUCUAGAACUUCUGGUAAUGUUAUCAUGUUCUACGCCCCAUGCAUGCAUUAUUUUGCUGAUAUAUGUGUUUGAACUGCUAGAGGAAUACAUAACCUUGUAUAUGCUACAUGUUACAUAGGCCAUUUUGACGUAUAACAGAAACAUGCUUUUGUAUCAACCA